AACGAACGCUGGCGGCAUGCCUAACACAUGCAAGUCGAACGAGAACAUCGGGUCUUGUGUCGCCCGGCUGCGUAACGCGUGGGAACCUUCCCUUAUGUUUGGCCUACCUCUCCGACAGGGGUGACAACACCGGACCAUGUCUUCUGACCAAUGAUUUAUCGACUCUGUAUGUGCGCGCGUUGGAUUCGCUAGUUGGUAGGGUAAGAGCCUACUAAGGCGCCGAUGCAUAACUGGUCUGAGAGGAUGGUCAGCGACACUGCGAGUCAGACGCGGCACGGAAUCCUACGGGAGGCGGGAGUGCGGAAUGGUGCAAAAUGGGGUGAAGGAUGAUCCAGCAAGGCCGCGUGAGUGAUGAAGGCCGUAGAGUUGUAAAGCGCUUUUACCCGGGAUGAUAAUGACAGUACCGGGAGAAUAAGCUACGGCUAACUACGUG
rnacentral:rRNA from 1 species